AUGCUGCCCGCGUGGACGCGGCCGCCGCCUUCUGCUCCCGGUUCCGGCUGCGCGCGGGCAGAGCCCUGGAAACAACGAAAACGGCGAGCAGCGUUGCUUUCCGGAUGUCGGAGUCCCGGAAGCCUCUGGGUGCGAGCCGGUCCUCCGCGUCCCCAGACGUCCCAGGGCCGAGCUCACCGCCGGGCCGCCGGUACCGAAACAGACUCCCCCAGUCGGCUUGCCGGCAAUCCACGCCUCGGUUUGCAAAGCCCUCUCCUCCGGACCUUGGUCCCUGCCCUCCCCGCACCCGACCCCGUUAGUUUGGAAACCAAAUUUCUCCUUUGGUCCCUCUGCAGACGUGACCCCAGAGGAGGACCUGCGGGGAGAUGCUUCUCCGAGCCUCAGUUUCCCCACCUGUGCAACGGGGCCAUAAGUUCCUGCGCCCCUCCCAGGGUUGAUAUGGGAUUGGCAGGGAGAGAGGACCUGGAAAACGCCCGACGGGGCCCAGUUCUGCCCACCCUUUGGGGCCAGGUCCCUUUUACCUGCUGCUAAACCAGUCAUUGCAGGAAGCUCUCUUGAACAAGCAAGAAAACAGAAGAGCCCAGAACCGCCUCAGGCAGGGGAAAAAAUUACCCCUCGUGCUGCCUGACCCGAAGCUGACAGAAUCGGUCGAGGAUUCCUGUCCCCUGGGGCAGGGCCGCCUGCUUCUGCCUCAGGCACCCAAAGCCUUGCACAACCCUGGGGCUGCAGGGAGGGAGCGGGCACUCGCGGUUCUUGGCUGUGCUGCCCCUGACAGGACUUAGCCACCUCCGAGGCAGUGGAGCUCCCUCCUCCUCCGCCCUCGCACAUCCGCAGGAGGUUCCCUGGUGAAGGAAGGACCAGUGGUGGCCAGAGUGGCAGGUCAGGGGACCUCACUGAGGACUGAGGGGCUAGGGUAGCAGCCCCUCACUCAUGGGAGUCCCCCCACCCUCGCAGUGGUAUCAGUGAAGUUAUUAUGAGUGUCCUGCUUGGUAGGGGGCAGCAGAGGGACUGCCUGAGCACUGCCCCUGCCACUCACACAGGACGCCCCCUGCUUCCCUUCCAGGACAAGCAGGCAGCUGUUGGGGCGGGGUGGGGUGGAGGGUUGGGGGGGGGUAGGAGUGGGUGGGAAUGGGGGUGGGGGGUGGAGGGGUGUGGGAGGGUACGGUCGGGGUGGCGGGGGGGAGGGAGCAGAUCAGAGGAGCUUAGCUUAGUCAGAGCCAGAGGCUUCCCCAUUCUACCUGGGGCUCUGGGGCAGCCCCCCACCAGCUUCCUGGGCAUCUCAGUUCCCACAGUGUAAUUUGGGGGCGAAAAAGUGGGUGUUGUGGGCAUAGCUAUAGGCAAGUGUGCUGCCUGGCACCUCCUGGGAGCUCAGGUUUUUGGAGCUGGGACGGCUAUCAGCAGGGUUCCCUGUGCCCUCUGACCCGUCCUCUCCCAGAACCAAAGCCUAUCCCUCGGGCUGACCUGGAUUCAUGGAGGGCUGUUCUCUGCUCCCGUGCAGGCCACAGAGGGCCAGUUGGACUAGGAUGAAGGACGGGGCUUCUGGGAGCUGUGGGUUCCCCUCCCCCUGCGGCUCUUCAUGGGUUCCCAGAGUCAGGCCCACCCUGCCUUCAGCGCCUCUCACAGGCACCAUGUGCCUGCUAAGAGGCUAAGGCUCUCAGACCAUGUGCAGACUUCUCAUUUAUUCAUUCGAUCAUUGACUUACAGCCAGAUGCCCUGGUAAAGCUGGGGCUCCUGAACUUACAGUCACACAGUGCGAGCUGAAGUGAAGGCUGUUUGUUCCCACACACCUGCAGCUUCCAGAGCAUCUUACUCUGCCCUCCCCUUUCCCUCCCCCCCCAAGGUCCCAGUGCUUGGAGCUCAGUGAAUGAAAGAAUGAAUGAAUGAAGAGGGCUGAGUGAGUUGAAAGUGACCCUGGGAUCCCUGAAGGCUGAUCUCAGCCCUAGAAACGGGGGAGGGGAGGUCCAGGUGACCUUCCAGGCUGUGGCCAUGGGCCCACAGCCCUGUGCUGAGCGUCCUAUCCUUUACCUGUCCCCACCCUGCAUCCAGCAGCCUGUGCCAAGUGACAGGGAUGCAGCAAUGAGCAAACCACCCAGAUGCCCUGAUGUGCAACGCACGAUUUGGAAAAGGGAAGACCACUUGCUCAGGGGUGAGUGAGUGGGUGGGGUCAGCUGGGUGCUGGGGACAGUGGACACAGGCAGAAAGAGCAUCCUCAGGAGACAUGUGGUCUGUCCCUCAGUUCCCUGGCCUGGGAUAUGGAGCCCAGGGGGUACUGGGGCUCCAGAGCCAGGCAGGGUGCUGGCAGCUGCCCCAGUCACUCCCACCCUUGGGCUCCAUCCCAGUGCAUAUGGCCCUAAUCCCACACCAUGGAACCACAGUGAGGAGACACUGGUGCUCAGAGGAGCGAGAACUUUCCUGGGAGGUGCAGUGGGAGUCACCUGGCUGACACAGAGCCCUGCUCCAGGCAACCCUUGAAGGAUGUCUACAGAGGGAGGGGUCUCCAUCGGGACCUUUCCUGGUUUCAUGCCCUGACAGAAUUGUGAGCUCCAAAGGGGGAUCCUGAUGAUGACCGAGAUGUUUAUUUGCCUGUGUCCAGAAAGACUUGGCCACCAGGCUUUGUAUUUCCUCAGAGUCUAGCUGUUGCUGGACAGUCAGGACCCCUCUCAGUGUGGGCAUCCCAGGGCCAUUCUGGGGCACAGACCAGUGGCUUUGGGGGCCUGGUUUGGAGCCAACAUUUCAAGCUAGUCAGACUUAGAAUCUGGGCUUCUGUGAAGAAAUUUCCAAUCAUGAAAUGUGUCAUUUGAAAAAAUAUAUGUGUCAGUUAAGUGUGCACUGAGCCUGGACCACAUGGGAUAGGGUUGUUCUAAUAAACACGAAUAAGCCAGUUUUCA
rnacentral:lncRNA from 1 species